UACGUAGGGGGGCAAGCGUUGUCCGGAUUUACUGGGCGUAAAGCGCGCGUAGGCGGGAGGUGAAGUCCGGUGGGAAAGCCCACGGCUCAACCGUGGAAGAUCGCUGGAAACUCACCUUCUUGAGGGCGGCAGAGGGAAGUGGAAUUGCUGGUGUAGCGGUGAAAUGCGUAGAUAUCAGCAGGAACACCCGUGGCGAAGGCGGCUUCCUGGGCCGCCCCUGACGCUGACGGCGCGAAAGCGUGGGGAGCGAACGGG
rnacentral:rRNA from 1 species